rnacentral:lncRNA from 1 species
GCAAUUCACUUGCAGCUGGUCUCUUCUGUAAUAGAAUCAAAAUAUUUAUCCAACAUGAUAAUAAUUCUUACACAUAAUUCAAAAAAUCCUCACACGUAAUUCAAAAAAUCGAAAACAGAUAAUAAUUCUAAUAUAAUCUUAAACAAGACAAAUAUUAAUACCUUGACAUAAUCUUCAAAAACAGAUUUGUCGCAAAUAAGCUUCAUUGCUCCACUAUCCCAACCAAAGCCACUAAGACAUAGCAUAUUGUGCAGAACACUCCAUUUAGUCUUCAAAGUCUUUACUCGAGAUCCUAUGUGGGCAUCUCCUUUCAAACCGCAACCUG